AGAGCGAACGCUGGCGGCAGGCCUAACACAUGCAAGUCGAGCGCCCCGCAAGGGGAGCGGCAGACGGGAGAGUAACACGUGGGAACGUACCCUUUGGUUCGGAACAACACAGGGAAACUUGUGCUAAUACCGGAUAAGCCCUUACGGGGAAAGAUUUAUUGCCAAAGGAUCGGCCCGCGUCUGAUUAGCUUGUUGGUGAGGUAACGGCUCACCAAGGCUACGAUCAGUAGCUGGUCUGAGAGGAUGAUCAGCCUCACUGGGACUGAGACACGGCCCAGACUCCUACGGGAGGCAGCAGUGGGGAAUAUUGGACAAUGGCGCAAGCCUGAUCCAGCCAUGCCGCGUGGAUGAUGAAGGCCCUAGGGUUGUAAAGUCCUUUCGACGGGGAAGAUAAUGACGGUACCGUAGAAGAAGCCCGGCUAACUUCGUGCCAGCAGGCCGC
rnacentral:rRNA from 1 species